CCUACGGGAGGCAGCAGUGAGGAAUAUUGGUCAAUGGUCGGGAGACUGAACCAGCCAAGCCGCGUGAGGGAUGAAGGUACAGAGUAUCGUAAACCUCUUUUGUCAGGGAACAAAGGCGGGGACGCGUCUCCGGAUGAGUGUACCUGAAGAAAAAGCAUCGGCUAACUCCGUGCCAGCAGCCGCGGUAAUACGGAGGAUGCGAGCGUUAUCCGGGUUUAUUGGGUUUAAAGGGUGCGCAGGCGGUCUGUUAAGUCAGCGGUAAAAGCCCGGGGCUCAACCCGGGCCCGCCGUUGAAACUGGCAGUCUCGAGUUGGAGAGAGGUAUGCGGAAUGCGCGGUGUAGCGGUGAAAUGCAUAGAUAUCGCGCAGAACUCCGAUUGCGAAGGCAGCAUGCCGGCUCCACACUGACGCUGAGGCACGAAAGCGUGGGUAUCGAACAGGAUUAGAUACCCUUGUAGUC
rnacentral:rRNA from 1 species